GACCUGAAAGAUAGUGAACUAUGCCUGGGCAGGGUGAAGCUAGAGGAAACUCUGGUGGAGGUCUAUAGAGGUCCUAACAUGCAAAUCAGUCAUCUGACCUGGGUGUAGGAGCAGAAGACUAGUCAAACUAUCUAUUAGCUGG
rnacentral:ncRNA from 1 species